UGCAUAAUUUAGAAAUAAUUGUACACACUAUUCUGUAAGCUAUCUUGCUGUUGUGCAUACAAGUCUGCAGUAAUUGAGAACUGGCAUGGGUUGCGUUUAGGGCGGUCUUCUUUUUCCUAGCACCACUUGUUCGAUGAAAUGCCUCAUAGAACGCUUCAAUUUUAAUUGGGAAAAGCAGUAUCUCUUAGUUUCCUGAUUAAUUGGGUGCUGGAGAUUGAGCAUUUUGGGUGUGAAAGUUGCAAUCUUUGCAUCAGCUUUUGGGUGGUGAUGAUAUCAAGGGAGAGAAGCUGACUCUAACAUACAUAGAUAGAUAUUCCAAAGGCCUCCAAUAGUAUACUCUCCCUUGUGGGAUCCAUCUCCGAAAGGUGCUUACUCAAUUGAUUUCAAGCCGCCUCAAUUAUCAGCUACAAGAUUAUAUAAUUUUGGCUUCAAGGUUUGAUUACCUCUUAUCAGUUCCUUUAUAUUCCUUUUCUCUGUACAUUAUUGUGAAGGUGUACU